rnacentral:rRNA from 1 species
UACGGAGGGUGCGAGCGUUGUCCGGAAUCACUGGGCGUAAAGGGCGCGUAGGCGGCCUGGCAAGUCGAUGGUGAAAGCCCGAGGCUCAACUUCGGGUCGGCCACUGAUACUGCUGGGCUUGAGUCGACUAGAGGCAGAUGGAAUUCCGGGUGUAGCGGUGGAAUGCGUAGAGAUCCGAAAGAACACCGGUGGCGAAGGCGGUCUGCUGGGGUCGAACUGACGCUGAGGCGCGACAGCGUGGGGAGCAACAGG